UGGUAAUGCCGGAUGCUCCAGUUGAUCGCAUGGUCUUCUGGGAAAGCUUUCGCGGUAUGGGAUGGGGUCGCGUCCUAUCAGCUUGACGGCGGGGUAACGGCCCACCGUGGCUUCGACGGGUAGCCGGCCUGAGAGGGCGACCGGCCACAUUGGGACUGAGAUACGGCCCAGACUCCUACGGGAGGCAGCAGUGGGGAAUAUUGCACAAUGGGCGCAAGCCUGAUGCAGCGACGCCGCGUGAGGGAUGGAGGCCUUCGGGUUGUAAACCUCUUUUAUCGGGGAGCAAGCGAGAGUGAGUUUACCCGUUGAAUAAGCACCGGCUAACUACGUGCCAGCAGCCGCGGUAAUACGUAGGGUGCAAGCGUUAUCCGGAAUUAUUGGGCGUAAAGGGCUCGUAGGCGGUUCGUCGCGUCCGGUGUGAAAGUCCAUCGCUUAACGGUGGAUCCGCGCCGGGUACGGGCGGGCUUGAGUGCGGUAGGGGAGACUGGAAUUCCCGGUGUAACGGUGGAAUGUGUAGAUAUCGGGAAGAACACCA
rnacentral:rRNA from 1 species